GACGAACGCUGGCGGCGUGCUUAACACAUGCAAGUCGAACGGAAAGGCCCUGCUUUUGUGGGGUGCUCGAGUGGCGAACGGGUGAGUAACACGUGAGUAACCUGCCCUUGACUUUGGGAUAACUUCAGGAAACUGGGGCUAAUACCGGAUAGGAGCUCCUGCUGCAUGGUGGGGGUUGGAAAGUUUCGGCGGUUGGGGCUGGACUCGCGGCUUAUCAGCUUGUUGGUGGGGUAGUGGCUUACCAAGGCUUUGACGGGUAGCCGGCCUGAGAGGGUGACCGGCCACAUUGGGACUGAGAUACGGACCAGACUCCUACGGGAGGCAGCAGUGGGGAAUAUUGCAGAAUGGGCGGAAGUCUGAGGCAGCAACGCCGCGUGCGGGAUGACGGCCUUCGGGUUGUAAACAGCUUUCGCAUGUGACGAAGCGUGAGUGACGGUAAUGGGUAAAGAAGCACCGGCUAACUACGUG
rnacentral:rRNA from 1 species